rnacentral:rRNA from 1 species
GACGAACGCUGGCGGCGUGCCUAAUACAUGCAAGUCGAACGCUGAAGCAGGAGCUUGCUUCUCUGGAUGAGUGGCGAACGGGUGAGUAACGCGUAGGUAACCUGCCUGGUAGCGGGGGAUAACUAUUGGAAACGAUAGCUAAUACCGCAUAACAGUAGAUAUCGCAUGAUAUCCACUUGAAAGGUGCAAUUGCAUCACUACCAGAUGGACCUGCGUUGUAUUAGCUAGUUGGUGAGGUAACGGCUCACCCAGGCGACGGUACAUAGGCGGCCCGAGGAGGGGGUCCGCCCCCCUGGGACUUGGACCACGCCCCGACCCCUUCGGGGAGCAGCCGUAGGGGAUCUUCGGCCAUGGACGGCAGUCCUAACGAGCAACUCCGCGGGAGGGAAGAAGGGUCUCGGAUCGUAAAGCUCUGUUGUUAGGGAAGAACGAGUGUGAGAGUGGAACGUUCACACUGUGACGGUAGCUUAACAGAAAGCGACGGCUAACUACGUG